rnacentral:rRNA from 1 species
CUCCUGGAAACGGGUGGUAAUGCCGGAUGUUCCACAUGAGCGCAUGCGAGUGUGGGAAAGGCUUUUUGCGGCAUGGGAUGGGGUCGCGUCCUAUCAGCUUGUUGGUGGGGUAACGGCCUACCAAGGCGUUGACGGGUAGCCGGCCUGAGAGGGCGACCGGCCACAUUGGGACUGAGAUACGGCCCAGACUCCUACGGGAGGCAGCAGUGGGGAAUAUUGCACAAUGGGCGCAAGCCUGAUGCAGCGACGCCGCGUGCGGGAUGGAGGCCUUCGGGUUGUAAACCGCUUUUGUUCAAGGGCAAGGCACGGUUUCGGCCGUGUUGAGUGGAUUGUUCGAAUAAGCACCGGCUAACUACGUGCCGGCAGCCGCGGUAAUACGUAGGGUGCAAGCGUUAUCCGGAUUUAUUGGGCGUAAAGGGCUCGUAGGCGGUUCGUCGCGUCCGGUGUGAAAGUCCAUCGCUUAACGGUGGAUCCGCGCCGGGUACGGGCGGGCUUGAGUGCGGUAGGGGAGACUGGAAUUCCCGGUGUAACGGUGGAAUGUGUAGAUAUCGGGAAGAACACC